CUCGAGUUGUCUCUCAUGUCUAGACCAUUUGUGAGAAGGGAUUUACUGUUUGCCCAAUCAACCUCACCAAUCUCUAAAUCUGCCAUUAGUAUUAUGCUCAUUUAAGAAAACUAGCAUCUAGAAAAUAGGUACAUAAAGUGCAUGAAUGACUUUUGCGGAUGCUGUACACAUAUUUUUUUUUAUAGAAUCAGUUCAUGCUGGUUCUCCAAAUCAUAUACAGUUUUGGACAUAUAUUUUUCCUAAGAGAUGUCAAACUUCUAUAUGGAUUGUUAGAAGGUCAUGAUAUCUUAGAAUUUGUAGCUUGCACUACUUAGCUACAUUAGUUCACUUGUUAAAAGUUGGGAAGUUGGGGAGGUGCUGGGUUAUUCCCUUCUCAUCGAUGGUCUAGAUGUGCAAGGUGACUCUCAUAGUGU
rnacentral:pre_miRNA from 1 species